rnacentral:rRNA from 1 species
CUACGGGACGCACCAGUAGGGAAUCUUAGACAAUGGGGGAAACCCUGAUCUAGCCAUGCCGCGUGAGUGAUGAAGGCCUUAGGGUUGUAAAGCUCUUUCGCUGGGGAAGAUAAUGACGGUACCCAGUAAAGAAACCCCGGCUAACUCCGUGCCAGCAGCCGCGGUAAUACGGAGGGGGUUAGCGUUGUUCGGAAUUACUGGGCGUAAAGCGCGCGUAGGCGGGCUAUUAAGUCAGGGGUGAAAUCCCGGGGCUCAACCCCGGAACUGCCUUUGAUACUGGUAGUCUUGAGUUCGAGAGAGGUGAGUGGAAUUCCGAGUGUAGAGGUGAAAUUCGUAGAUAUUCGGAGGAACAUCAGUGGCGAAGGCGACUCACUGGCUCGAUACUGACGCUGAGGUGCGAAAGUGUGGGGAGCAAACAGGAUUAGAUACCCGGGUAGUC